UCCUAAGGAUGAAAGGCUUAGUAUAGUC
rnacentral:sRNA from 1 species